GGGUUGUGAGGUUAAGCGACUAAGCGUACACGGUGGAUGCCCUGGCAGUCAGAGGCGAUGAAGGACGUGCUAAUCUGCGAUAAGCGUCGGUAAGGUGAUAUGAACCGUUAUAACCGGCGAUUUCCGAAUGGGGAAACCCAGUGUGUUUCGACACACUAUCAUUAACUGAAUCCAUAGGUUAAUGAGGCGAACCGGGGGAACUGAAACAUCUAAGUACCCCGAGGAAAAGAAAUCAACCGAGAUUCCCCCAGUAGCGGCGAGCGAACGGGGAGCAGCCCAGAGCCUGAAUCAGUGUGUGUGUUAGUGGAAGCGUCUGGAAAGGCGCGCGAUACAGGGUGACAGCCCCGUACACAAAAAUGCACAUGCUGUGAGCUCGAUGAGUAGGGCGGGACACGUGGUAUCCUGUCUGAAUAUGGGGGGACCAUCCUCCAAGGCUAAAUACUCCUGACUGACCGAUAGUGAACCAGUACCGUGAGGGAAAGGCGAAAAGAACCCCGGCGAGGGGAGUGAAAAAGAACCUGAAACCGUGUACGUACAAGCAGUGGGAGCACGCUUAGGCGUGUGACUGCGUACCUUUUGUAUAAUGGGUCAGCGACUUAUAUUCUGUAGCAAGGUUAACCGAAUAGGGGAGCCGAAGGGAAACCGAGUCUUAACUGGGCGUUAAGUUGCAGGGUAUAGACCCGAAACCCGGUGAUCUAGCCAUGGGCAGGUUGAAGGUUGGGUAACACUAACUGGAGGACCGAACCGACUAAUGUUGAAAAAUUAGCGGAUGACUUGUGGCUGGGGGUGAAAGGCCAAUCAAACCGGGAGAUAGCUGGUUCUCCCCGAAAGCUAUUUAGGUAGCGCCUCGUGAAUUCAUCUCCGGGGGUAGAGCACUGUUUCGGCAAGGGGGUCAUCCCGACUUACCAACCCGAUGCAAACUGCGAAUACCGGAGAAUGUUAUCACGGGAGACACACGGCGGGUGCUAACGUCCGUCGUGAAGAGGGAAACAACCCAGACCGCCAGCUAAGGUCCCAAAGUCAUGGUUAAGUGGGAAACGAUGUGGGAAGGCCCAGACAGCCAGGAUGUUGGCUUAGAAGCAGCCAUCAUUUAAAGAAAGCGUAAUAGCUCACUGGUCGAGUCGGCCUGCGCGGAAGAUGUAACGGGGCUAAACCAUGCACCGAAGCUGCGGCAGCGACGCUGAUGCGUUGUUGGGUAGGGGAGCGUUCUGUAAGCCUGCGAAGGUGUGCUGUGAGGCAUGCUGGAGGUAUCAGAAGUGCGAAUGCUGACAUAAGUAACGAUAAAGCGGGUGAAAAGCCCGCUCGCCGGAAGACCAAGGGUUCCUGUCCAACGUUAAUCGGGGCAGGGUGAGUCGACCCCUAAGGCGAGGCCGAAAGGCGUAGUCGAUGGGAAACAGGUUAAUAUUCCUGUACUUGGUGUUACUGCGAAGGGGGGACGGAGAAGGCUAUGUUGGCCGGGCGACGGUUGUCCCGGUUUAAGCGUGUAGGCUGGUUUUCCAGGCAAAUCCGGAAAAUCAAGGCUGAGGCGUGAUGACGAGGCACUACGGUGCUGAAGCAACAAAUGCCCUGCUUCCAGGAAAAGCCUCUAAGCAUCAGGUAACAUCAAAUCGUACCCCAAACCGACACAGGUGGUCAGGUAGAGAAUACCAAGGCGCUUGAGAGAACUCGGGUGAAGGAACUAGGCAAAAUGGUGCCGUAACUUCGGGAGAAGGCACGCUGAUAUGUAGGUGAAGUCCCUUGCGGAUGGAGCUGAAAUCAGUCGAAGAUACCAGCUGGCUGCAACUGUUUAUUAAAAACACAGCACUGUGCAAACACGAAAGUGGACGUAUACGGUGUGACGCCUGCCCGGUGCCGGAAGGUUAAUUGAUGGGGUUAGCGCAAGCGAAGCUCUUGAUCGAAGCCCCGGUAAACGGCGGCCGUAACUAUAACGGUCCUAAGGUAGCGAAAUUCCUUGUCGGGUAAGUUCCGACCUGCACGAAUGGCGUAAUGAUGGCCAGGCUGUCUCCACCCGAGACUCAGUGAAAUUGAACUCGCUGUGAAGAUGCAGUGUACCCGCGGCAAGACGGAAAGACCCCGUGAACCUUUACUAUAGCUUGACACUGAACAUUGAGCCUUGAUGUGUAGGAUAGGUGGGAGGCUUUGAAGUGUGGACGCCAGUCUGCAUGGAGCCGACCUUGAAAUACCACCCUUUAAUGUUUGAUGUUCUAACGUGGACCCGUAAUCCGGGUUGCGGACAGUGUCUGGUGGGUAGUUUGACUGGGGCGGUCUCCUCCUAAAGAGUAACGGAGGAGCACGAAGGUUGGCUAAUCCUGGUCGGACAUCAGGAGGUUAGUGCAAUGGCAUAAGCCAGCUUGACUGCGAGCGUGACGGCGCGAGCAGGUGCGAAAGCAGGUCAUAGUGAUCCGGUGGUUCUGAAUGGAAGGGCCAUCGCUCAACGGAUAAAAGGUACUCCGGGGAUAACAGGCUGAUACCGCCCAAGAGUUCAUAUCGACGGCGGUGUUUGGCACCUCGAUGUCGGCUCAUCACAUCCUGGGGCUGAAGUAGGUCCCAAGGGUAUGGCUGUUCGCCAUUUAAAGUGGUACGCGAGCUGGGUUUAGAACGUCGUGAGACAGUUCGGUCCCUAUCUGCCGUGGGCGCUGGAGAACUGAGGGGGGCUGCUCCUAGUACGAGAGGACCGGAGUGGACGCAUCACUGGUGUUCGGGUUGUCAUGCCAAUGGCACUGCCCGGUAGCUAAAUGCGGAAGAGAUAAGUGCUGAAAGCAUCUAAGCACGAAACUUGCCCCGAGAUGAGUUCUCCCUGACUCCUUGAGAGUCCUGAAGGAACGUUGAAGACGACGACGUUGAUAGGCCGGGUGUGUAAGCGCAGCGAUGCGUUGAGCUAACCGGUACUAAUGAACCGUGAGGCUUAACCUUACAACGCCGAAGGUGUUU
rnacentral:rRNA from 1 species